AACGCACAUUGCGCCCAUCAGUAUUCUGUUGGGCAUGCCUGUCCGAGCGUCAUUUCUACCCUCAAGCCCUGGCUGCUUGGUGUUGGGGUGCUCUACAGCCUUACUGUAGGCCCCGAAAAUCAGUGGCGGUCUCGCCGAGAUAACCCGAGCGUAGUAGUCUCUCUCGCUCACGGGUUGCCAGCGGGUUGCUAGCCGUUAAACCCCUAAAAGUUUAACAGAGUUGACCUCGGAUCAGGUAGGAAUACCCGCUGAACUUAA
rnacentral:misc_RNA from 1 species